GGGGUCGCGGAGCCCCGGGCCUCCGGGGUUCCCGAUGCCUCCGGGGUCUCCGGGGCCCGGGGGUUCGGGGUCUCCGGGACCCCG
rnacentral:tRNA from 1 species